rnacentral:rRNA from 1 species
AGAGUUUGAUCAUGGCUCAGGAUGAACGCUGGCGGUAUGCCUAACACAUGCAAGUCGUACGAGAGUUUUUAACUCAAGUGGCGGACGGGUGAGUAACACGUGAGAAUUUACCUUUAGGAGGGGGACAACAACUGGAAACGGCUGCUAAUACCCCAUAUGCUUCCGAGUGAAAUGAAUUUAUUCGCCUAAAGAGAAGCUCGCGGCUGAUUAGCUUGUUGGUAGGGUAAGAGCCUACCAAGGCGACGAUCAGUAUCUGGUUUGAGAGGACGAUCAGACACACUGGAACUGAGACACGGUCCAGACUCCUACGGGAGGCAGCAGUGGGGAAUUUUCCGCAAUGGGCGAAAGCCUGACGGAGCAAUACCGCGUGAGGGAAGACGGCCCAUGGGUUGUAAACCUCUUUUUUCAGGGAGGAAUAAAUGACGUGUACCUGAAGAAUAAGCAUCGGCUAACUCCGUGCCAGCAGCCGCGGUAAGACGGAGGAUGCAAGUGUUAUCCGGAAUCACUGGGCGUAAAGCGUCUGUAGGUGGUUAAACAAGUCAACUGUUAAAUCUUGAGGCUCAACUUCAAAAUCGCAGUCGAAACUGUUUGACUAGAGUAUAGUAGGGGUAAAGGGAAUUUCCAGUGGAGCGGUGAAAUGCGUAGAUAUUGGAAAGAACACCGAUGGCGAAGGCACUUUACUGGGCUAUUACUGACACUCAGAGACGAAAGCUAGGGUAGCAAAUGGGAUUAGAUACCCCAGUAGUCCUAGCCGUAAACAAUGGAUACUAGAUGUUGAACAGAUCGACCUGUGCAGUAUCAAAGCUAACGCGUUAAGUAUCCCGCCUGGGAAGUAUGCUCGCAAGGGUGAAACUCAAAGGAAUUGACGGGGGCCCGCACAAGCGGUGGAGCAUGUGGUUUAAUUCGAUGCAACGCGAAGAACCUUACCAGGGUUUGACAUGAUACGAAUUUUUGUGAAAGCAAAAAGUGCCGUUUGGAACGUAUACACAGGUGGUGCAUGGCUGUCGUCACCUCCUGUCCUGAGAAGUUUGGGUUAAAUCCCCCCACCAAGCGCAACCCCUUGUUUUUUAUUUGCCUUUAUUGGAACUCUAAAAAGACUGCUUGGUUAUAAACCCGAAGGAAAGGCGGGGAUGAAAUUCAAUUCACCAUGGCCCUUACACCCUGGGGGGAAAAAAAUGGUUAAUUUGGGUGAGAAAAUAGAAAUGCAAACCUCGCAAAGGCGAGCU